UGCAAAGCUCAAAGCACCACAUGAAUGAUUUCAUUAUUAUUAUUAUUUUAGAAGAAGAGGAAAUAAUUCCUGGUUCAGUGUAAGAAUGAGAAGCAUUGAAUAAUAACAUAAGAACUGCAAAAGAAUUUAUGAAGAAAUGGAAGAAAUGAAAGCCCAGAGAAGGUGUGUGUUGGCUGCAAAAGCAAGUGUGAGAUCUGGAGAGAUUGAAUCAAUGAGACUAACAGCAAGAACAGUAACAACAAUUACAAACCUUUUAUUCAAUAUAAACAAACAGUAAGUAAAGAAGUGGAAGCACACAGUCAGCAAUGACUCAUUCGGGCAGCUCUCCAGAUGCCUCCCCAUAAUGAAACACACAGGUAAGUGACAACUUCCUGUGCAGAAAUCAAAUCACACCCAGAUAGCUACUGUUUCUUCUUUUUAAAAAUUAAUUUCUCAUUGAACAAAAAUCUAUUUUCUCUCUCCC
ensembl:lncRNA